GGGCUGCUAGCUCAAUAGGCAGAGCGGCGGACUCUUAAUCCGCAGGUUCCGGGUUCGAGUCCCGGGCAGCCCA
rnacentral:tRNA from 1 species